AACGCGAAGAACCUUACCAAGGUUUGACAUGCAGGGAAAAGCCGUAGAGAUACGGUGUCCGCAAGGGCCCUGCACAGGUGGUGCAUGGCUGUCGUCAGCUCGUGUCGUGAGAUGUUGGGUUAAGUCCCGCAACGAGCGCAACCCUCGUUCUAUGUUGCCAGCGGAUAAUGCCGGGGACUCAUAGGAGACUGCCGGGGUCAACUCGGAGGAAGGUGGGGAUGACGUCAAGUCAUCAUGCCCCUUAUGUCUUGGGCUGCAAACAUGCUACAAUGGCCGGUACAGAGGGCUGCGAAACCGCAAGGUGGAGCGAAUCUCAAAAAGCCGGUCUCAGUUCGGAUUGGGGUCUGCAACUCGACCCCAUGAAGUCGGAGUCGCUAGUAAUCGCAGAUCAGCAACGCUGCGGUGAAUACGUUCCCGGGCCUUGUA
rnacentral:rRNA from 1 species